rnacentral:rRNA from 1 species
AUUGAACGCUGGCGGCAGGCCUAACACAUGCAAGUCGAACGAGUGGCGGACGGGUGAGUAAUGUCUGGGAAACUGCCCGAUGGAGGGGGAUAACUACUGGAAACGGUAGCUAAUACCGCAUACCAUCGGAUGUGCCCCGAUGGGAUUAGCUAGUAGGUGGGGUAACGGCUCACCUAGGCGACGAUCCCUAGUUGGUCUGAGAGGAUGACCAGCCAAACUGGAACUGAGAUACGGUCAAGAAUCCUACGGGAGGCAGCAGUGGGGAAUAUUGCACAAUGGACGGAAGCCUGAGGCAGCCAUGCCGCGUGUAUGAAGAAGGCCAUAGAGUUGUAAAGUACUUUCAGCGAGGAGGCGUUACUCGCAGAAGAAGCACCGGCUAACUCCGUGCCAGCAGACGCGGUAAUAC